rnacentral:miRNA from 1 species
AAGACUGUAAAUGCUAUUAAGA